CGGGCCACAGAACGAGGCCCUAUGCAGGUGUUGGUACAGACUGCCCCAAAAGCCCCCUGAGAAGUUGGUCCUGGGGCGUAAGAGGAAGGCACAGUGAAGAGCAGGAGUGAAAGCUGCUUCAGCACUUUGGAGCAGGAAGGAAAGGAAGCGAGAUACAGUUGGAAGAGGGUGAAGCGGGCAACCUGAGGGAUGGAGUGCAGGGUUUGACCUUCGAUUCUGGAUCUCCUCCAUUAGCAGGCUUCCGGGGUGGCGUUGUUGCCUCUCUGCCGAUCCUUCCUUUGGGUGGGGCUGUCGACUGGCGCCACGGCCUGUGAGACCGUGGGCGGGGUCGUUGCAGGCACAGUGGGGUUCCUAGAGUCUUAGGCAUGCUCACUUGAGGCGUUCUUCCCUACCCGUCGACUGAUCUCAGAGGAAAGAGACUGAGCUGCUCAAGCCUGCCGGUGUGGCUGUCAGGGUGUCCCGCGUUAGCCCAUGUGCCCGACUCCUGGGAUCUGACAGGGAGGCUGCUGAUGUCCACCUUCCAGUGCUUCCGUCCAUUGGGAGCCUGCCCUUCCUUGGCGCCGGCCGGCCGUGAGCGGUUAUCCUCCAUAGAUAGGGUUCAAGAACCGCCCAACCAUCACCUCAUGGUCACCUGACAUGCUCACAUCAGACCAGCUACCUCGAGUGGCAGGAACGUCUGACAGGAUUGCACAUGUGGCAGAGGAGCAUCCGAGAAGGAUGAAGGUUUGGCAGGAGAAACACCUACCAGAUCAGAUGUGAAUGUGUGGCAGAAGGCCCAUCUGGGAAGAUUGCACACUGGGCAGAAGGAAGAGCUAAGAACGUUGUACAGACAGCAGAAGGAGUGCCUCUGGAGAUUGCCCGCUGCAGGAGGGCGGGAACCGGCCCUCAUCCCCAUCGCGAUGGCUGCAAAGAGCCCAGCACCCUGGGCUCAGACUUCUGGGCUCGGCCCAGUGAACUUGGCGAAACUCAGGACGUCUGGGCUAGCCCUGCCAGCCUCCGCCCUGAACUUAUGUGCAGUUACCACCUGCACAUGGCACGGGGCCGCGGGAGUGGCAA
rnacentral:lncRNA from 1 species